rnacentral:rRNA from 1 species
CCUACGGGUGGCAGCAGUGGGGAAUAUUGCACGAUGGGCGCAAGCCUGAUGCAGCCAUGCCGCGUGUGUGAAGAAGGCCUUCGGGUUGUAAAGCACUUUCAGCGGGGAGGAAGGCGGUGAGGUUAAUAACCUCAUCGAUUGACGUUACCCGCAGAAGAAGCACCGGCUAACUCCGUGCCAGCAGCCGCGGUAAUACGGAGGGUGCAAGCGUUAAUCGGAAUUACUGGGCGUAAAGCGCACGCAGGUGGUCUGUCAAGUCGGAUGUGAAAUCCCCGGGCUCAACCUGGGAGCUGCAUUCGAAACUGGCAGGCUAGAGUCUUGUAGAGGGGGGUAGAAUUCCAGGUGUAGCGGUGAAAUGCGUAGAGAUCUGGAGGAAUACCGGUGGCGAAGGCGGCCCCCUGGACAAAGACUGACGCUCAGGUGCGAAAGCGUGGGGAGCAAACAGGAUUAGAUACCCGAGUAGUC